AUUGAACGCUGGCGGCAUGCCUUACACAUGCAAGUCGAACGGCAGCAUGAUCUAGCUUGCUAGAUUGAUGGCGAGUGGCGAACGGGUGAGUCAUACAUCGGAACGUGCCCUGUAGUGGGGGAUAACUAGACGAAAGAUUAGCUAAUACCGCAUACGACCUGAGGGUGAAAGUGGGGGAGAGCAAGGCCUCAUGCUAUAGGAGCGGCCGAUGUCUGAUUAGCUAGUUGGUGAGGUAAAGGCUCAACAAGUCGACGAUCAGUAGCUGGUCUGAGAGGACGAUCAGCCACACUAGGACUGGGACACGGCCCAGACUCCUACGGGAGGCAGCAGUGUGGAAUUUUGGACAAUGGGCGAAAGCCUGAUCCAGCAAUGCCGCGUGUGUUAAAGAGGCCUUCGGGUUGUAAAGCACGUUUGUCCGGAAAGAAAUGGCUCUGGUUAAUACCUGGGGUGGAUGACGGUACCGGAAGAAUAAGGACCGGCUAACUACGUG
rnacentral:rRNA from 1 species